UACAGAGGUCCCAAGCGUUGUUCGGAUUCACUGGGCGUAAAGGGUGCGUUGGCGGUCGGGUAAGUCUGACGUGAAAUCUUCAAGCUCAACUUGGAAACUGCGUCGGAUACUAUUCGGCUAGAGGAAUGGAGGGGAGACUGGAAUACUUGGUGUAGCAGUGAAAUGCGUAGAUAUCAAGUGGAACACCAGUGGCGAAGGCGAGUCUCUGGACAUUUCCUGACGCUGAGGCACGAAAGCCAGGGGAGCAAACGGG
rnacentral:rRNA from 1 species